ACUAAACAGUUGUUUUUUAUUAAAAAAUAGCAGACAAAGAAAUUAUACCAUCCAGCCCUCCUAUUUAAUUAUUAAAUAAAAGUGUGAAAGAGAUAUCAAGGGCUAUUCUGUUAAAAUGUCAUCCGACCAGUCUAGGCCCUGUUGUGAACCAGAAGGUGUGCUAAGUUGGAUGUUGGAUAUAGAAUGGAAGGAAUAUCAUGGCCGAGAACAAGGCAUAAUUGUAUGUCCCUUGAUGUAGGGGGGCCUGUAAAGGUAAAUAAUUCCUGGAGCCAUCUCGAGGUAUAGUACUCAAGUCGGAGCGAAUCAAUUGAUAGCACGAUGAAAAGAAAUAAUAGCCAGCAUAAAACUGUAAAUAUGUAUAUAACUAGUACUAUGUAGCUAUUUAACUGUAAG